rnacentral:rRNA from 1 species
UACGGAGGGGGCUAGCGUUGUUCGGAAUUACUGGGCGUAAAGCGCACGUAGGCGGCUUUGUAAGUUAGAGGUGAAAGCCCGGGGCUCAACUCCGGAAUUGCCUUUAAGACUGCAUCGCUAGAAUUGUGGAGAGGUAAGUGGAAUUCCGAGUGUAGAGGUGAAAUUCGUAGAUAUUCGGAAGAACACCAGUGGCGAAGGCGGGUCUCUGGACAGUUCCUGACGCUGAGGCACGAAGGUCAGGGGAGCAAACGGG